GGCUCAGAACGAACGCUGGCGGCGCGUUUAAGCAUGCAAGUCGAGCGGCAAGGGCCUUCGGGCCCCUAGAGCGGCGGACGGGUGAGUAACACGUGGACAAUCUGCCCCCCGGCCCGGGAUAGCCCAGGGAAACCUGGAUUAAUACCGGAUGAGACGGGACCCGCGAUGGCGGGACCCGGGAAAGGCGCUGCGGCGCCGCCGGGGGAUGAGUCUGCGUCCCAUUAGCUAGACGGCGGGGUAACGGCCCACCGUGGCGACGAUGGGUAGCCGGCCUGAGAGGGUGGACGGCCACAUUGGAACUGAGACACGGUCCAGACUCCUACGGGAGGCAGCAGCUAAGAAUCUUCCGCAAUGGGCGAAAGCCUGACGGGAAGCGACGCCGCGUGAACGAAGAAGGCCGUGAGGUUGUAAAGUUCUUUUCGGGAGGGGGAACAACCGUGGCAGGGAAUGGCCGCGGGAUGACGUGAAUCCCGGAAUAAGCCCCGGCUAACUACGUGCCAGCCGCCGC
rnacentral:rRNA from 1 species